rnacentral:misc_RNA from 1 species
GUGAAGAGUUGUCUACUUAAAUUAAUAUGUUUGUCUUAUUUGGAUAAAUAUCUAAAUAAAUUUUAUUAUAAUUCUAAUUAUAAUUAUUAAUUUUUACAAUAUUUUAAUUAUUAGUUUCUAAUUUCUAUUUAUAAUAGUCUAAUUAUUUUAUACUUCUCUUGGCUAAUUUAGUCCCAUUCAAAUGCAUCAAUAUCACUUAAUUUAAUUGACAUUUUAGUCAAAAGUCAACUCUUUAAGUGAAUUGACCA